GACGAACGCUGGCGGCGUGCCUAAUACAUGCAAGUAGACCGCAGUUGCGAACGGGUGAGUAACGCGUCGGUAACUGCCUCAUAGCGGGGGAUAACUAUUGGAAACGCUAGCUAAUACCGCAUACUGUGAGAUGGACCUGCGUUGUAUUAGCUAGUUGGUGAGGUAAAGGCUCACCAAGGCGACGAUACAUAGCCGACCUGCGAGGGGGAUCGACAAACUUGGGAAUGAGAUACGGCCCAGACCCCUCAGGGCAGGAACAGUGAGGAAAGUUGGGCAAUAGACGGAAGUCAGACCUAGCAACGCGGCGUGAGUGAAGAAGGUUUUCGGACCGUAAAACUCUGUUGUUAGAGAAGCGGUAACUACCGAGAAAGGGACGGCUAAUUACGUGCCAGCAGCCGCGGUAAUUC
rnacentral:rRNA from 1 species